AUAAUAGAAUCAAAAUAAAAUACACAAAAUAAAUAAAACUACAAAUUCAAGAACAAACAAUAAAUAAAAUAAAAGUAGUAAAACAUAUUCAGUUUCUUUUUUUAUGAGUGAAAAACAUCCGCCACAAAAUACCCAAUGUAUUUUUCUACACCUUGAAACCAGUUGUACCACAAAUUCUGUACUUGAUUAAAAGUACAAAUAAAUAAAUAUUGCUAAAUAUUAAUACAUUUAAUCAAGUUAAAUUUGUACUUGGGUUGAAGUACUUAAUACUUAAGUAUUAAAAGUAAAAAGUACUAUGGUUGUGUUUUACAUGACAGAUUUAAUAAAAGAUCAUUAGAAUAACUGAAAAUAAAAUUCAGUCAGCUAAUCUUUCAGCUCUACCUGUAUAAACUGUUGGGUAGUUUAAUUUAUAACAAAACAUUUGAUUAAGUCUGCAAAAAUCUUAAUUUGUAAAGUAAUUUAAGCUGUCAGAUGAAUUUAGUACAAAUUAAAAUGUAUUGGAGUAGAAAAGAAAAUACUGAAGUAAAUUACAAAUACCUCUAAUUUGUACUUCAGUACAGUACUUGUAUAGAGUACAACAAGUGCUGAAAACAUGUCUGGAAGGGACCUUUGAUACUUUAAUAAUCUGGUUUGUGUAUUCUGUGACACACAGCAGUAAAUAAAGCUUCAGUUCUUUGUGUUCACCACUAGUAACACAUCUCUAGUCCAGUAAUGCUGCAGGACUCACCUCAGCACUACUGAGCCAGGUAAGGCCUCCACCAGAGACCGUGUCUUUAUUUAAAACUCACAUGAAUGUAACAUGGUUGGAAGAAACAGGUUUUCGUAUUUAAGCAGGGUUAAAGUUCAACUUCUUUUGAGCCUUUCUGCAUUUACUGAGGUGCUGCUGAAGUUCUGACGGUGGCAACGUCUCCUCUCCUAAACAAACCGUCAGCAUUCUGCCUGUGAGAUGUGAAGGCCGAUCAGCAGUCAGACGCUCCGGUCGACAGCGGCUUCAGCAGCCAGCCAAUGGAGGAAGAGUUUGCACACACAUUCAAGACCGAGUACAAAUGCGUUCGAGUCUGAGACGAGACCGUCAAAAAGAAACGGACUCGAGUACUGCAACACUACAAAGCUGAACUAAAGUGGACUGACGCAUCACUUCUGUGUGUGCUGUUUGUCAGACUAAUGUUGAAUUUGAUUGUGAAUGUUACAGAUCUAAAAACGGUACAUUUUAAAACUACUGACUUUAGGAUUCUUCCCCUUAGCAAUGACAGGGCUUGUACUAGUUAUGGAGAAUCCGUUUAAGUACCUAUUUAUUAUUAUGUUUUCUUAUUUAACACAUAAAUAUGCAUAUGUUGUUUUAUAUGUGACUUUUGUACCAAAGUAGAAUAUCAGCUACCAAAGACCCGUCUCUAUAUAUUCAGUUACACUCCUUUGUACGUUUCACGUUGCAGAAUUGAACAAAUAACAAUUAAAACAA